rnacentral:lncRNA from 1 species
CUUCAACCAAUCAGCGCUCGGAUCCUCACAGGAUUGCACUAUAAGCUCCGUCCACCUACCAUGAUUGACAUCCCCAAUAACCAAUCAACUCAUAGCGAGUCAGCUGUAGCCAAUAAGACGCUAGUCCCGCUUACAAAGUGGGCGGAGCUCUCAGUGGUACGCAUGCGCAGAGCUGUGCGCGGGACCGGAAGUUCCGGUCGGCCUCUUCCUGGGCGCCAUCUUGUCGAGGGCGGAGGCGGCAGCGGAGCGGGAAACGGAGGCCAUGCCGUCCCCUCCGGCCGUGGGGCUGUUCAGCAGCGAUGA